GAUGAACGCUGGCGGCGUGCUUAACACAUGCAAGUCGAACGAUGAAGCCCAGCUUGCUGGGUGGAUUAGUGGCGAACGGGUGAGUAACACGUGAGUAACCUGCCCUUGACUCUGGGAUAAGCCUGGGAAACUGGGUCUAAUACUGGAUAUGACUUCUCAUCGCAGGGUGGGGGGUGGAAAGAUUUAUUGGUCUUGGAUGGACUCGCGGCCUAUCAGCUUGUUGGUGAGGUAAUGGCUCACCAAGGCGACGACGGGGAGCCGGCCUGAGAGGGUGACCGGCCACCCUGGGCCUGAGACACGGCCCAGACUCCUACGGGAGGCAGCAGUGGGGACUCUUGCCCAAUGGGCGCAAGCCUGAUGCAGCGACGCCGCGUGGGGGAUGACGGCCUUCGGGUUGUAAACCUCUUUCCGUAGGGAAGAAGCGAGCGUGACGGUACCUGCAGAAGAAGCGCCGGCUAACUACGUG
rnacentral:rRNA from 1 species